rnacentral:rRNA from 1 species
AUACGUAGGUGACAAGCGUUAUCCGGAUUUACUGGGCGUAAAGGGCGUGUAGGCGGUCUUGCAAGUCAGAAGUGAAAUUCCUGAGCUCAACUCGGGCGCUGCUUCUGAAACUGCAGGACUUGAGUGCUGGAGGGGAUAGCGGAAUUCCUAGUGGAGCGGUAAAAUGCGCAGAUAUUAGGAAGAACACCGGUGGCGAAGGCGGCAAUCUGGCCAGUAACUGACGCUGAGGGGCGAAAGCGUGGGAGCAAACAGGAUUAGAUCCCCUGAUAGUCCACGCCGUAAACGACGAAUACUAGGUGUAGGGGGUAUCGACUCCCUCUGUGCCGCAGUUAACACAAUAAGUAUUCCGCCUGGGGAGUACGGCCGCAAGGUUGAAACUCAAAUGAAUUGGCGGGG